UUUAAGACGAAAAUGGUUAUCGGCUGUUCACAGACAAGACUGGACACCGAGUAAGCACUCUGUUAUAUGUGAACUGCAUUUCAACAAGGACGAUAUUUUAAGCAGUACCAGCAUGUAUGACCCGAAAACUGGUAUACUCUUGACAGCACCGUUGGAUCGUCGACGCUUGAGAAAAGAUGCUAUCCCAUCGAAGUUGCCUGGAUGCCCAUCUUACUUGUCGAGUCAUCAAACUGCAGUACGAGAGGACCCAGAAAUUCGUAGGGGGCGUUUAGAAAAUCGUGCUCUUCAAAUUGCUAUCCAAGAAAGUGUGGACACACAUGCGAAAAUGAUUGAUGCGAUAUCGUUCGAUAGUUUAGAACAAAUGAAAACAAA